UAUGAACGCUGGCUACAGGCUUAACACAUGCAAGUCGAGGGGAAACGACGGGGAAGCUUGCUUCCCCGGGCGUCGACCGGCGCACGGGUGAGUAACGCGUAUCCAACCUGCCUCUGACUGAGGGAUAACCCGUCGAAAGUCGGCCUAAUACCUCAUGGUAUCGUCUGCGGGCAUCCAACGACGAUUAAAGAUUUCAUCGGUCAGGGAUGGGGAUGCGUCUGAUUAGCUUGUUGGCGGGGUAACGGCCCACCAAGGCUACGAUCAGUAGGGGUUCUGAGAGGAAGGUCCCCCACAUUGGAACUGAGACACGGUCCAAACUCCUACGGGAGGCAGCAGUGAGGAAUAUUGGUCAAUGGGCGAGAGCCUGAACCAGCCAAGUAGCGUGCAGGAAGACGGCCCUAUGGGUUGUAAACUGCUUUUAUGCGGGGAUAAAGUGAGGGACGUGUCCCUCAUUGCAGGUACCGCAUGAAUAAGGACCGGCUAAUUCCGUG
rnacentral:rRNA from 1 species